ACCCCAAUAGCCCUAGCUCUGUGUAAGACCUGGCCGGGCCAGGCAGCCUUCUGUAGGUAAGACCUGGCUAGGCCAGGCAGCAGAUUAUCGUAAGACCUGGCCGGGCCAGGCGAGCAGAGUUUGUAAGACCUGGCUGGGCCAGGCAAAUUGAGGUUGUAAGACCUGGCUAGGCCAGGCAUCCUCCCAGUGGGAAUUUUGGUGGUCAUGUCUGUCCUUGAGAUGAAAUGUCUG
rnacentral:lncRNA from 1 species